rnacentral:rRNA from 1 species
ACGGGAGGCAGCAGUGGGGAGUAUUGCACAAUGGGCGAAAGCCUGAUGCAGCGAUGCCGCGUGAGGGAAGAAGGUUUUCGGAUUGUAAACCUCUGUCAGCGGGGACGAUAAUGACUGUACCCGAGAAGGAAGCACCGGCUAACUACGUGCCAGCAGCCGCGGUAAUACGUAGGGAGCGAGCGUUAUCCGGAAUUACUGGGUGUAAAGGGAGUGUAGGCGGGACUGUAAGUCAGAUGUGAAAUAUGGCGGCUCAACUCGCAGACUGCAUUUGGAACUGCGGUUCUUGAGUAACGUAGAGGUAAGCGGAAUUCCUAGUGUAGCGGUGAAAUGCGUAGAUAUUAGGAGGAACAUCAGUGGCGAAGGCGGCUUACUGGGCUUUAACUGACGCUGAGGCUCGAAAGCGUGGGGAGCAAACAGGAUUAGAUACCCUGGUA